UUGUCGCUAUGUGUCUAUUGUAAUUUUUUUCUGACUACACAGAAGAUCAGAUGAUCGGAUUACUAAUAGUACAGGUCAUUACAUCUUCCCUACAGGGUAAAUGGAAAUCCACAGGUUUUACAAACAAAUGUGUGCGAUUAAUUGUUAGUCCUGUUAUACAUUAUUUUAUUUUUAACAGAUGUUGCAAGAGUCUCAUAAAGAUCACGAAAGCAUAAAUGACAGUGCAGCAAAGGACAGCGUAGAGGACACUAGUGAAUCCGAAUCAUUUCCUCCAGCAGGGUGUGGUGUAGAUGUAGAAAGCUGUCAGACAGCAGUCCAAACACCGAAAUGGAGAUUGCCUUACAAAGGCGUGGCUGUGCAGGUGAAUGAUAGCACACCCAAAAAACUUUCAAAGAUGCAGCUGUGCAAACGGAUGAAAUUGGCUCACCUUGCACAAACUCAACAUCUCCAGAACGAGAUGACGAUCAGAAGCAGAACAAUCCUUAAAACCAGUACAAGAUGAGAUGUUAAUACAAAGUGAGGAAGUUGAGGAAAAUGAAAACAAGCUGGACCCAUUAUUUUACCCUGACACCUACCAAUCUGAUUGUUCAGAAACUUCAGAAGCUGCAGAAGAAAUCUGUAACCCCCAAAUACAGCUGAGGAGAGAAAGUUUAUAGUUUUUGAAAGUCAGCUAUUACAAUUGUUUAUAAUUGCUUUUAUAAUUAUCGCUUGCUUCAGGAUCGUAUUGGUAAGGAUUUAUGGUUUUAAAUGAUGUUAAGCAAUUAAAAUCAUAACAAUUGCUACGUAUGGUGGAGUGGAAACAGCAUGGUACUUGUUUUGUAUCUGUUUGUUCGUUUUGGCCACUGUCGUUUUGCUUAAAAAAAGUGUUUUGUGUUUAAAUCUUUUUAUUUAUAAUAAACCGGCGCAACAGCACAUUUCACUCA